GGGGUUGUGGCUUAGCGGUAAAGCACUCACCUCGUAUGUGCAAGACCCUGAGUUUGAUCCUCAGCACCACA
rnacentral:tRNA from 1 species